CAGCCGCGGUAACACCGGCAGCUCUAGUGGUAGCUGUUUUAUUGGGCCUAAAGCGUUCGUAGCCGGUUUAAUAAGUCUCUGGUGAAAUCCUAUAGCUUAACUGUGGGAAUUGCUGGAGAUACUAUUAGACUUGAGAUCGGGAGAGGUUAGAGGUACUCCUGGGGUAGGGGUGAAAUCCUGUAAUCCUAGGAGGACCACCUGUGGCGAAGGCGUCUGACUAGAACGAAUCUGACGGUGAGGAACGAAAGCUAGGGGCGCGAACCGGAUUAGAUACCCGGGUAGUCCUAGCCGUAAACUAUGCGGACUUGGUGUGAGGGUGGCUUUGAGCCGUCCUGGUGCCGAAGGGAAGCUGUUAAGUCCGCCGCCUGGGAAGUACGGUCGCAAGACUGAACUUAAAGGAAUUGGCGGGGGAGCACCACAACGCGUGGAGCCUGCGGUUUAAUUGGAUUCAACGCCGGAGAUCUCACCAGCGGCGACAGCAGUAUGAUUACCAGGUUGAUGACCUUGUUUGACAGGCUGAGAGAGGUGGUGCAUGG
rnacentral:rRNA from 1 species